rnacentral:rRNA from 1 species
GACGACGCUGGCGGCGUGCUUAACACAUGCAAGUCGAACGAGUGGCGAACGGGAGAGUAAUGUCUGGGAAACUGCCAGAGGGAGGGGGAUCACUACUAAAAAGGGUAGCUAAUACCGCAUACUAUCGGAUGUGCCCAGAUGGGAUUAGCGAGGAGGUGGGGUAAAGGCUCACCUAGGAGACGAUCCCUAGCUGGUCUGAGAGGAAGACCAUCCACACUUGAACUGAGACACGGUCCAGACGCCUACGGGAGGCAGCAGUGGGGAAUAUUGCACAAUGGGCGCAAGUCUGAUGCAGCCAUGCCGCGUGUAUGAAGAAGGCCUUCGGGUUGUAAAGUACUUUCAGCGGGGAGGCGUUACCCGCAGAAGAAGCACCGGCUAACUCCGUGCCAGCCGCCGCGGUAAUUC